rnacentral:lncRNA from 1 species
CGCUCUCCUAAGAGCAGCGGCUGGGUCUCCCUGUGGUGAGGCUUCAGAGCCCGGGGUGGGCCCCCCACACCGAUGCCACGCGUACUGCGCUCCGCUUCACUUUUGGCUUUGAGAGGAGAGAUGGCGGCAGGCGUUGGAGGCAGACUGCUGACACGGCCGCUGCAGCUGGAGCUGGAGAGGAGCAAGUGCAUGAAUGGAGUCCAGGAGGCUCGGCAGCACUCACUGCAGCAGCUCUUGAGGACCAGCGGGGGUCGGUGGUCAACUCACAGCCUACCAUUAUCUUCCACUGGCUUCUUUUUUUCACACUCAUUUAACCUACAAGUUGUAAGUACUUUCUGAAUUUUGAUAUUUCUGGACCACGUGGAAUCUUUUUAGCCCCUU